UAAUCCACCCUGAGCCUUGCUCAAGACUUCUGUCCUGGCGAGGUGACACAGCGGAUUCCCCAUCCUCUCUCCUGCCUCAAAUGUGAAGCGGAACGUGAGACUCACAGAUAAGACCCCUGCCAGCCUCUCCUGUUCCCACAGUGGCCCCGUGUACCUUGUAUCCACUGCACGUCAGGCCUGCAUUUCUUUUUGCCAAGACGCACUUCAUUCGGAGAAAGAAAGACCGCUCUAUCUCGUACUCUGAAAGCAGACGUGCUGUUAGACAGGACCUGCCCUGCAUGUGUCCCCAACAACCUCCAACCUGGCACCCUCACACAAAGCAGCCAGAGUCAGACCCUCACCCAGAGAGUCCUGCCAAGGACCGAAGUCUAAGUGGGGAAGGUGAGACCGUGAUCAUCCCUGUACAAUUUCCAAGAAGAAAAGCAUCCUGAACCAUGACCAUAGCAAGAACCUGGAAACCCGGGUCAGCCUGACAGAACAGCCCCUUCCUUUCCACAGGCCACAGAGGAACUGGGUGCCAAGGUGGCUCUCGAAAAGGCCCGGAAGCAUCUAAGUUCCUUUAAGGCAGCAGAUACCAAAUGCCAGGCAUAACUCAGCCCCUGUCCCUGGCAGAGGGAGACAGACACAUUUGCCUCUUGGUGGGCUCAGUAAGAUGACUGCCACUUUGGAACACCCUUUCCCAAGUCUUAUCUCCAGGGCUCAGCCUUUACCUGCGGAGCCAUCUACAGACUGGCCUUUUCCUUCCUUCCUUUUCCACCCUCACAAAGGGAAGUUUUGGCCGCACAGUUAAUUGUAGCCGCAGGUAAGAAGGAGACCCCUCGUUAGUCUGCAAGCCUCACAGGACUGCCAGGGUGAGUUGAAAGGCUGGGGCCUCUAGAAUACACUCUGUCUUCUUAGGACUCAUUAUGACUGUAAUUUAAGGAGGUGCGUGAGCGAUGCCCAGGGUUUUUAAACCAAUCUGUGCCACGGCACACAACCUAAAAGUCUCUGCUCGGAAUACUUCCACAUGCAAAAAAUAGAUUACAAAAAGAAACCAGCUCUGUGGGUAAAGAAUCGCUCAGAAAGUUUGAAUUAUCUACUGCAUACAUGCCUUUUUAAGUAUCUGUAACGUCUGUGGCAACAAAGCCAAGGUUCUAAUGACCGUUGGUUGAAAGCCUCCAGUCUUGUGCAAAUGAAAUGCAAAAUUACACAGAUACAAUUUCCCAGUAUCUAACAUUCCCCAGCCCCUGGUUCUGUCCUCAGAAGAAGCAGGCGGGCCUAGGCUCACAAGAGUCUGUGCUGACAUUUUGAACCAGGAGCAUGUGAGGGGAACAGCGUGUGACCCAGUGCUGAACAGCUUGUGGCACAUAGUAGGGACUCCAUACUGUCCCCUGAAAACACAGAGGCAGGUGAGGGACAAAGCAUGAGCCCUCAGCCUGUAAGUGCAAAGCCCUGGGCUUGAUCCACGCCAGUGCAAGCCAGCAGCCCGGAGGACAGGUGUAGCAGCUGUUAAUCGGACCCAAACCCAGCCCACAGUAGGUGUAGGAAGCAGAAGCAGACCCUCUCUUUGGAGUAAGCAUGACCCUGCUUCAUUCUGGUUUUCUGUGCUGCAGAGGACCAACCUUGGAGCAGGUGAUGGUGGAGGGGUGGGUGGGCCGUCAGUACUGCUGUCAUCUCGUCAUGGUCAGAAGGAUGGAUGUAUUCGUAAAUACUGUUGCCUGUGAGCUCCACCUGCCAGGGGACAGAAAGAUCGGACAAGUCACAGGUCUCUCCAGAGUGGGUGCAAGGGGAGAGACCACAGAGCAGGAAGUGAGCAUUUAAUCUUGGUUGAAGUUCUGCUUGGAGAAAAACAGUCCUCAAGUGACUUCUCUGUAGACAAGCAUCUCCAGAGACUCUGCGAAGACCCAACCUGCCCUUUAACUAAACUGCUUCCUCUGGUUUCAAAGCUUCUGUUCUCUUGACGGGUGGGAGUACAGGCAAUCCAAGAUUUGUGGAUGAAGGACUGGGUGUUUUGAGCUCUGGGGUCCAUUAUAAAAUGAAUGGGAUUGUCUAGGAACCCCAAUAACCUUUAAACAACGGAAAUGUCUUCAUAGAGGAAAAAAUAUGGAGUAAUAUAUAACAGUGCAGACCUUAACUCGAAAUUAUGGUUGACGGGGCGCUUCCUGUGUUUAGAUGUGUGUCCCUGCUUUAAAAUGCUGAAAGACGUGCAGCUAUCUUACCCCACUCCCCAAAAUAUAUGCAACUCUAAAGAUAUGUAUUUGUCUCAACAGGACUCCCCAGGUCUCAUAUCUCAGCCUUAUUAAGACAGGACUUCAGUGAGCUGUUUCACUGUCUGUAAAACCCUGGUGACCACAAAAGCCAUGGUGUUCCGCUGCUCCCACUAAGAGCUUGCUAAUGCUUUGCCGAGUAGUCUCUUCCUGCCCAGAGAGCCGACAUGGUAAACUUGAGGAUAAAGGCUCUGUGUGGAAAGGCAGAGUCACUCAGCCGCUGAGAAAUGCGCUCGGCACUGCCUGGGCAUUUUGCUGAGUGUAGCAUUUUAAAUUAAGAUGAUUUGGGAUUCAGGGUUUGAGCUACGUAAACAAACACACGUCAUUGCCUUUUAUUCCUGAAGUGAAAGGAAUUCUGUCUCGUGCCCCUGAGCAGCACGGCUGCUCCUUUUAUUAGCCAGUCUCUGGCAUCCUUCUCAAACAUUCCGUUUUCCUUUAUGUGUCCCAUAAACAGCUACUUCACAUAUGUGUACACGUCUUUGAAAAUGAGUAUUGGUUACCUAGACAUUAUAGAGCAUAACUUUGUUAGAUUUAAACCAUAUGGAUACUUAAAAUGUCUACAUGACUCUAUUUUUCCUUCAUUGUCAUUUUUAAACCAGAAUUUGACAGCAGUGAUCACAUUUAUUUGCUAAUUGGGAAGCAAAAUAAAAGAAUAAAUUCAUCCUGGAGAAAUAAACUUCUUACUCCAACA